rnacentral:rRNA from 1 species
AGUGAACGCUGGCGGUAGGCCUAACACAUGCAAGUCGAACGGCAGCACAGUAAGAGCUUGCUCUUACGGGUGGCGAGUGGCGGACGGGUGAGGAAUACAUCGGAAUCUACUUUUUCGUGGGGGAUAACGUAGGGAAACUUACGCUAAUACCGCAUACGACCUACGGGUGAAAGCAGGGGAUCUUCGGACCUUGCGCGAUUGAAUGGGCCGAUGUCGGAUUAGCUAGUUGGCGGGGUAAAGGCCCACCAAGGCGACGAUCCGUAGCUGGUCUGAGAGGAUGAUCAGCCACACUGGAACUGAGACACGGUCCAGACUCCUGCGGGAGGCAGCAGUGGGGAAUAUUGGACAAUGGGCGCAAGCCUGAUCCAGCCAUACCGCGUGGGUGAAGAAGGCCUUCGGGUUGUAAAGCCCUUUUGUUGGGAAAGAAAAGCAGCAGGUUAAUACCCCGCUGUUCUGACGGUACCCAAAGAAUAAGCACCGGCUAACUUCGUG